rnacentral:rRNA from 1 species
UCCGUAGGUGAACCUGCGGAAGGAUCAAUACCGAGUGUAGGGUUCCUAGCGAGCCCAACCUCCCACCCGUGUUUACUGUAACCUUAGUUGCUUCGGCGGGCCCGCCUUUAAGGCCGCCGGGGGGCAUCAGCCCCCGGGCCCGCGCCCGCCGGAGACACCACGAACUCUGUCUGAUCUAGUGAAGUCUGAGUUGAUUGUAUCCCAAUCAGUUAAAACUUUCAACAAUGGAUCUCUUGGUUCCGGCAUCGAUGAAGAACGCAGCGAAAUGCGAUAACUAGUGUGAAUUGCAGAAUUCCGUGAAUCAUCGAGUCUUUGAACGCACAUUGCGCCCCCUGGUAUUCCGGGGGGCAUGCCUGUCCGAGCGUCAUUGCUGCCCAUCAAGCACGGCUUGUGUGUUGGGUCGUCGUCCCCUCUUCGGGGGGGACGGGCCCCAAAGGCAGCGGCGGCACCGCGUCCGAUCCUCGAGCGUAUGGGGCUUUGUCACCCGCUCUGUAGGCCCGGCCGGCGCUUGCCGAACCCAAAACAACCAUUCUUUCCAGGUUGACCUCGGAUCAGGUAGGGAUACCCGCUGAACUUAAGCAUAUCAAUAAGCGGAGGAAAAGAAACCAACCGGGAUUGCCUC